rnacentral:lncRNA from 8 species
AACGAACAUCAUUUGUCCGGGUGUUGUAAGCCAUCACACUAAAAUAUAUAUACAAAAAGUAUGUUGCAUAGAACAGUGUGUGUCUGUGUUUUAGUAUGUUCUUUUAGUCUUUUUAUCGGCACAAUCAGUAAGAUUCCCUGCGGUUCAAGAAUGCUUACCACUGAUUCUUGAAUUUCUAAAUUAUGCUUAGUACAAUCCUUCUAACCCCGAAUCUUGUUAUAAUUAUAAUUCCUCUGUAGCGGUCUGUCUCGGGACGUCAGUCUAUCAGGGAACUUGUUCACUGCGCUGACAUAAAAUAAUCCAGUGCCUGGUUUUGCGAAACACAAUUGGCCCAUCUUGCGCUUGGAUCCAGUACGGUCAUUUCUUCCCUCCAAAACUCAUUCUUGCUGCAGGGAGGAGCGUUGAGCAUCCGUCUGAGUGACUGCAUUCAAGAAGAGAACGGGCAUGCACAGCACUUUUUUGACUUUCCAUUGCUUAUGUUCUAAACCUCUAUCUGAUCUACUGUAUUAGCAAGGGGUUUCAACGCGGAGCAUCCUAGGCUAACAUCAUCUGUCUCAAUAGGAACGCGGGGUUUUCUGUUGCAUAGUCGUAUCAUUUGUUUCCUGCGCAAAAAAUUGCAGACAUGGUCAAUACAACGAAACAUCGGGCUUUGGCUGGAUGAAUCAACAGGCCCAGGGAGACUCACGGCUGUCUGUGCUUGUUCCAGUGCCAUAAUCAACAGCACCACAGCAAGCAGCUCUCCACCUUACUUCCCCAUCAUCAUCUGCCCAUGACAGGGAUUUUGGCUGCUACUACCAUGACUGAAAAUUGGGAUGCUUUUUUUCCCCCCGUAUAGCCUACAGUCUCAACAUUAAGACUUGGCCUAUUUUUGUAUAUGGCUAAUCAUGCACUCUUUCUUUGUGCAGCUCUAGUGAAGGAAAUGCAAUGGUAAAGCACUGCAUCGUUCACUUUUUAUUUGUUUAUUUUGUCCUUUGUUGUCUGUUUUGGCUAAUAAGGUCUGUCCCAUUAAGGGGAUUUAACGAUCACGUUUUAUAAUAGACCUUUUGGAUUUGACAUCCUUGGGAGCAGGCAGCGUUCAGUAAAUAGUCAACACCUUUUCAACAGCUGGAGAGAA